CCUACGGGGGGCAGCAGUGGGGAAUAUUGGACAAUGGGGGGAACCCUGAUCCAGCCAUGCCGCGUGUGUGAAGAAGGCCCUCGGGUUGUAAAGCACUUUCAGUGAGGAAGAACGCCUGUUGGUUAAUACCCAUCAGGAAAGACAUCACUCACAGAAGAAGCACCGGCUAACUCCGUGCCAGCAGCCGCGGUAAUACGGAGGGUGCGAGCGUUAAUCGGAAUUACUGGGCGUAAAGCGCGCGUAGGUGGCUUGAUAAGCCGGUUGUGAAAGCCCCGGGCUCAACCUGGGAACGGCACCCGGAACUGUCAAGCUAGAGUGCAGGAGAGGAAGGUAGAAUUCCCGGUGUAGCGGUGAAAUGCGUAGAGAUCGGGAGGAAUACCAGUGGCGAAGGCGGCCUUCUGGACUGACACUGACACUGAGGUGCGAAAGCGUGGGUAGCAAACAGGAUUAGAUACCCUGGUAGUC
rnacentral:rRNA from 1 species